ACGAACGCUGGCGGCGUGGAUAAGACAUGCAAGUCGAACGAGAGAAUUGCUAGCUUGCUAAUAAUUCUCUAGUGGCGCACGGGUGAGUAACACGUGAGUAACCUGCCCCCGAGAGCGGGAUAGCCCUGGGAAACUGGGAUUAAUACCGCAUAGUAUCGAAAGAUUAAAGCAGCAAUGCGCUUGGGGAUGGGCUCGCGGCCUAUUAGUUAGUUGGUGAGGUAACGGCUCACCAAGGCGAUGACGGGUAGCCGGUCUGAGAGGAUGUCCGGCCACACUGGAACUGAGACACGGUCCAGACACCUACGGGUGGCAGCAGUCGAGAAUCAUUCACAAUGGGGGAAACCCUGAUGGUGUGACGCCGCGUGGGGGAAUGAAGGUCUUCGGAUUGUAAACCCCUGUCAUGUGGGAGCAAAUUAAAAAGAUAGUACCACAAGAGGAAGAGACGGCUAACUCUGUGCCAGCAGCCGCGGUAAUACAGAGGUCUCAAGCGUUGUUCGGAAUCACUGGGCGUAAAGCGUGCGUAGGCUGUUUCGUAAGUCGUGUGUGAAAGGCGCGGGCUCAACCCGCGGACGGCACAUGAUACUGCGAGACUAGAGUAAUGGAGGGGGAACCGGAAUUCUCGGUGUAGCAGUGAAAUGCGUAGAUAUCGAGAGGAACACUCGUGGCGAAGGCGGGUUCCUGGACAUUAACUGACGCUGAGGCACGAAGGCCAGGGGAGCGAAAGGGAUUAGAUACCCCUGUAGUCCUGGCAGUAAACGGUGCACGCUUGGUGUGCGGGGAAUCGACCCCCUGCGUGCCGGAGCUAACGCGUUAAGCGUGCCGCCUGGGGAGUACGGUCGCAAGAUUAAAACUCAAAGAAAUUGACGGGGACCCGCACAAGCGGUGGAGUAUGUGGCUUAAUUCGAUGCAACGCGAAGAACCUUACCUGGGCUUGACAUGUAAUGAACAACAUGUGAAAGCAUGCGACUCUUCGGAGGCGUUACACAGGUGCUGCAUGGACGUCGUCAGCUCGUGUCGUGAGAUGUUUGGUUAAGUCCAGCAACGAGCGCAACCCCUGUUGCCAGUUACCAGCACGUGAAGGUGGGGACUCUGGCGAGACUGCCCAGAUCAACUGGGAGGAAGGUGGGGACGACGUCAGGUCAGUAUGGCCCUUAUGCCCAGGGCUGCACACGUACUACAAUGCCCAGUACAGAGGGGGCCGAAGCCGCGAGGCGGAGGAAAUCCUGAAAACUGGGCCCAGUUCGGACUGUAGGCUGCAACCCGCCUACACGAAGCCGGAAUCGCUAGUAAUGGCGCAUCAGCUACGGCGCCGUGAAUACGUUCCCGGGUCUUGUACACACCGCCCGUCACAUCAUGGAAGCCGGUCGCACCCGAAGUAUCUGAAGCCAACCGCAAGGAGGCAGGGUCCUAAGGUGAGACUGGUAACUGGGAUG
rnacentral:rRNA from 1 species